CUUACAUCGGCUGGUGGUCAUCUCUGUGUACGUCGGCUCUGUCGGCUCAGGGUUUGUGUUCCUGUUUCGGCUGGGAUCUUCCCUGUUACUGGAAUAACGCUCCUUCCACUCCUGCAAAAGUACGCCAAAAAGACACGAUGAACUGAACACGUUCUGGGUCUAUAUGAUCAUUGUGGUACCACCACCGUCCUGUGAUCUGCAUACAGUCGUCAUAACAUGAGUGAAGGAAAGUUCUAUAUAGGACACUCGUGCUUACCCUUCUGCGUGUUUCUCCAUCCUCAAGUCUCUGACGUUUUCUUUUCUCUAGAAUAAGAGGUUCUUUCAGCUUGUUGUAUGAACACAGCGAAGAGAGACAGGACCGGACUUGUGCUGAAGAACGUGCACUCAGACCACACCACGACAGCAGAGAAGAUCACCAGGACCACAGCCAGGAUCCGAGAACACCAG